rnacentral:rRNA from 1 species
CCUACGGGUGGCAGCAGUGAGGAAUAUUGGUCAAUGGGCGCAAGCCUGAACCAGCCAAGUCGCGUGAAGGAUGAAUGCCCUACGGGUUGUAAACUUCUUUUAUCAAGGAAUACAGUGAGGCACGUGUCCCUUUUUGUAUGUACUUUAUCAAUAAGGAUCGGCUAACUCCGUGCCAUCAGCCGCGGUAAUACGGAGGGUCCGAGCGUUCUCCGGAUUUAUUGGGUUUAAAGGGAGCGUAGAUGGGUUGUUAAGUCAGUUGUGAAAGUUUGCGGCUCAACCGGAAAAUUGCAAUUGAUACUGGCAGUCGUGAGUACAGGUGAGGGAGGCGGAAUUCGUGGUGUAGCGGUGAAAUGCUUAGAUAUCACGAAGAACACCGAUGGCGAAGGCAGCUUACUAAACUGCCACUGACAUUGAGGCUCGAAAGUGUGGGGAUCAAACAGGAUUAGAUACCCGAGUAGUC